rnacentral:piRNA from 1 species
UGGUAACAUCACACAUUCAAAGGGACAGGA